AGUCUGAUGGAGCAACGCCGCGUGAGUGAAGAAGGUUUUCGGAUCGUAAAGCUCUGUUGUUGGUGAAGAAGGAUAGAGGUAGUAACUGGCCUUUAUUUGACGGUAAUCAACCAGAAAGUCACGGCUAACUACGUGCCAGCAGCCGCGGUAAUACGUAGGUGGCAAGCGUUGUCCGGAUUUAUUGGGCGUAAAGCGAGCGCAGGCGGAAGAAUAAGUCUGAUGUGAAAGACCGGGGCUUAACUUCGGAAAGGCAGUGGAAACUGAACAGCUAGAGUAUGGUAGGGGCAGAGGGAAUUCCUGGUGUAGCGGUGAAAUGCGUAGAGAUCAGGAAGAACAUCGGUGGCGAAGGCGGUCGACGCGGCC
rnacentral:rRNA from 1 species